rnacentral:tRNA from 1 species
CAGAAGAUAGCUAAAUUAUAGCGGUAAAUUGUAAAUUUAUAGGUGAUUGUUAUCUC